rnacentral:rRNA from 1 species
GGCUUAGAGUUUGAUCAUGGCUCAGGAUGAACGCUAGCUACAGGCUUAACACAUGCAAGUCGAGGGGCAUCGGGAAGAAAGCUUGCUUUCUUUGCCGGCGACCGGCGCACGGGUGAGUAACACGUAUCCAACCUGCCCUUUACUCGGGGAUAGCCUUUCGAAAGAAAGAUUAAUACCCGAUGGCAUAAUGAUUCCGCAUGGUUUCAUUAUUAAAGGAUUCCGGUAAAGGAUGGGGAUGCGUUCCAUUAGGUUGUUGGUGAGGUAACGGCCCACCAAGCCUUCGAUGGAUAGGGGUUCUGAGAGGAAGGUCCCCCACAUUGGAACUGAGACACGGUCCAAACUCCUACGGGAGGCAGCAGUGAGGAAUAUUGGUCAAUGGGCGCUAGCCUGAACCAGCCAAGUAGCGUGAAGGAUGAAGGCUCUAUGGGUCGUAAACUUCUUUUAUAUAAGAAUAAAGUGCAGUAUGUAUACUGUUUUGUAUGUAUUAUAUGAAUAAGGAUCGGCUAACUCCGUGCCAGCAGCCGCGGUAAUACGGAGGAUCCGAGCGUUAUCCGGAUUUAUUGGGUUUAAAGGGAGCGUAGGUGGACUGGUAAGUCAGUUGUGAAAGUUUGCGGCUCAACCGUAAAAUUGCAGUUGAUACUGUCAGUCUUGAGUACAGUAGAGGUGGGCGGAAUUCGUGGUGUAGCGGUGAAAUGCUUAGAUAUCACGAAGAACUCCGAUUGCGAAGGCAGCUCACUGGACUGCAACUGACACUGAUGCUCGAAAGUGUGGGUAUCAAACAGGAUUAGAUACCCUGGUAGUCCACACAGUAAACGAUGAAUACUCGCUGUUUGCGAUAUACAGUAAGCGGCCAAAGCGAAGCAUUAAGUAUUCCACCUG